GGGCGAUUAGCUCAGUUGGUUAGAGCGCCACGUUGACAUCGUGGAGGUCACAAGUUCGAAUCUUGUAUCGCCCA
rnacentral:tRNA from 1 species